CCGUUCUUGUGUUAUUUGCUGGUUGUUUUUUUUAUAAACCAGCGAUUGUCAAACAGAACGCAUAGUAAGCAAAGGCAGCUAAAUCACUCCACAAUGUUGAGCCGUCAUUAACCAGGGCUGCUGCAUUACUAAAUGCUUGCCACAUUU